rnacentral:lncRNA from 10 species
ACUGAAUGCGAUGGUGCCUCUUUCCUGAGGAUAUUAAACCCAUUAUUUUGUUUUGCAGGUCACAUUUCAAAGGCCAGAUCUUUCCCAGGGCUUAAGCUGUUCCUUGGAUACUUUUGGUAAAUCCAAAUGUGAGCGGCAUUCUAGAAUCCAUGGAGGCCCCCAAAGGAAGACAAGCUUUCAUCCUUGCCAGCUGGUUAAAAGUGCAGAAUAUUGAUUCAACUGCUAUCCCUGGGCUGAAAGACAGAAUUGAGAUUUCAUCUCUUUGCCUUUGUAUAGAAAUCUUUUCUAUCCAAUGGAAUAUGGAGGAGUGACCUACAUGGGCAGGCACUGGUAUGUUUGUCUUUCUUUCUCAGUAUUUUCCCUACAUAUGUGCAUGUAUGUACAUGAUUGCUUCCCCCACAACUACAUUGAACUGGAAGAAGUUGGAAUAAGAUGACAGAAAAUCCCCUUACAGAAAUCCCAACUGUCAAACAGCAUCUCUUACUGAGUCAUUUACUCCUCUAACUGCCUAGAAAAUGGCCUCUUCCAGUGAACUAAAUGGCAUCUUAAGUUGCUUGAGAAAUCUAAUGCACCUCCUUCUACCAGGCAAUCUGUUCUCUUUUCAUAUGUAGCAUUAGGCCUAUUAUCCUUAAUUCCACACCCACCCAGGCUGUUACCUAGGCAACAGCAUCCUCAGAUUGCACUG